rnacentral:rRNA from 1 species
UGGGGAAUAUUGCGCAAUGGGCGAAAGCCUGACGCAGCGACGCCGCGUGCGGGAUGAAGGCCUUCGGGUUGUAAACCGCUUUCAGCAGGGACGAAUUCAGACGGUACCUGCAGAAGAAGCGCCGGCUAACUACGUGCCAGCAGCCGCGGUAAUACGUAGGGCGCAAGCGUUGUCCGGAAUUAUUGGGCGUAAAGAGCUCGUAGGCGGCCUGUUGCGUCCGCUGUGAAAUCCCGGGGCUCAACCCCGGGCCUGCAGUGGAUACGGGCUGGCUGGAGGCAGGCAGGGGAGAACGGAAUUCCUGGUGUAGCGGUGAAAUGCGCAGAUAUCAGGAGGAACACCGGUGGCGAAGGCGGUUCUCUGGGCCUGUUCUGACGCUGAGGAGCGAAAGCGUGGGGAGCAAACA